GUUCGGAUCGUAGGCUGCAACCCGCCUGCGUGAAGUUGGAAUUGCUAGUAAUCGCGGAUCAGCAUGCCGCGGUGAAUACGUUCCCGGGCCUUGUACACACCGCCCGUCACACCAUGGGAGCCGGUAAUGCCCGAAGUCAGUAGCCUAACCGCAAGGAGGGCGCUGCCGAAGGUAGGAUUGGCGACUGGGGUGAAGUCGUAACAAGGUACC
rnacentral:rRNA from 1 species